CGGAGUGUUUGACUAGAAGGGCUAAUCUGGACUGAGAGGCAUCAGAGGGUCAUCACCUUACAAUUGUUGCCAAGAAGGAAAUUGAAACUCAAGAUGAGAAGAAGGUUAAGUGGAGGUUGGGGAGGAGGGGAGCCAUAACCCCAGAAGAGAUCCGUUCAAUCAUCUUAGCUUUCCCAGCUGCUGGGACCUAAAGAAUGUCAGCAAUUCUCCCCCUCCCACACAGCCACUCUGGAAUAAUUAGCUUUACUGCUCUUUUUUUUUUUUUUUUCCCACAAGCUAUUACCUUAAUUAUUUUAAUUAGAUUGUUCAUGCACUUAAGCUGCUCACAAGCACUUUUCUUUUUAUGGUCUAUCAAUAAACAGAAGAGGGAAGCUACCAUCUUGGAAGAAGCCUGGCAGUUCUCACUAGCAGGGCACGGACACAAGCCUGAAAGCUCAUUUUCUACACGAGUCUGAAAACUGCCCAGCAUCCUGGAACCACUUUCGCAGGGCGAGCCGAGAAGCUCCGUGGGUCCCGUGUGCACCUUCUGUGGUCACGGCCAGUUGAAAUCCGGGGGGGGGGGGGGGGGGGGGAGUGCCUAACCUGUUUUCAACAUGGUCCUCUGCGGAACUCUCUGCAGUAUAAACAGCCAAGGUUUUGGAUGGUCCGUUGGGUUAGUUCCCGGUGUGAUUAAGACUCCCCGUACUUGGCAUUUCUAAGCUAUCUAGUUGAUUGCUUGUUCCUCCAUUUACUUGUCGAGUGACCUUGAAAACGGUUUAACUUCUCAAAUUCUCCAUUUACCUAUCUGUCAAAUAAAGGUAAGAGACACAAACCCGUAGAGUUAUUUGAGAAGUACACGUGUCACGGGGCUUCCUCUCCCCUCCGCUUGCUUUCUUUUCUCUUCCCCUUCCCCCUAGAUUUCCUAGCAAAUUUGGAAGAGAUGAAACCGGGCUCUUUCAAACUUCAAAGUCACCCUUAAAUUUAUUCUUUCCGUAAAUGCAGAUGUGAAGGCUGGCAGGUGUUGAUCGGUUGGGAGAGUGCUCGCCUACUGGGCAUGAAGCUCUGCAUCUGGGCCCCAGCUUGGUGGAAACUGGUCACCAUGCCUUAUGAUCGGGGACUCUCAAGAGGUGGAAGGAAGCAGGGGAGUGAGACGUCCAAGGUCAUCCUUGGCUACAGAAUCAAAUGCAGGGUUGUCGGGCUUACAGGGCUGCUGGCUCAACCUGCGGAACCAUCUUACCGGCCCUUUCUGUCCAUCUUUACUGAGUUAAUAAAAGCAGA
rnacentral:lncRNA from 1 species